GGGACCAUGCUCAGUCUCACUCUGCAUCACAGUUUAACAUGAGCAUUUUAUCAAAUAAGCGUUGAUAAAAUUAAAAAUGUGUCUAGGUGAGGAAAAUAAUCGUGGUGCCAUGAAUCCAUAGACACCAUAAAGAAGGCAAAGAGUGUGCCAGAACAAAAUAACCAAGUGGAUGGUUUUCGCUAAAGAUGGAAAGCAGCCAAAUUGAAGAGAGAAAUAAAAGAGGAUUUUGCAAACCUUGCGUUCGUGGCCUCCCACCUGACGAAAGGAAGCUGGGCAAGCCUGCUUGUGGUAGAACGUCCGCCACUCACUACGGCUCCACGUCGGUGUUCCGGUGGUCGAAGAAUUUGCACUCCAGCGGAAGCAGCGGGUCGGGUGCGUUGGCAUGGCUGCGAUAUGAUGGGGUAGGGCAUGUGCGCGAGGCCAGCGGCGUCGUGAACGCGACUGUGCCGCAAGC
rnacentral:lncRNA from 1 species